UACGUAGGGAGCAAGCGUUGUCCGGAAUCAUUGGGCGUAAAGCGCGCGUAGGUGGCUUCGUAAGUCCGUUGUGAAAGUCAAAGGCUCAACCUUUGAAUGCCGAUGGAUACUGCGGAGCUAGAGUACGGAAGAGGCGAGUGGAAUUCCUGGUGUAGCGGUGGAAUGCGCAGAUAUCAGGAGGAACACCAAUAGCGAAGGCAGCUCGCUGGGACGUUACUGACACUGAGACGCGAAAGCGUGGGGAGCGAACAGG
rnacentral:rRNA from 1 species